rnacentral:sRNA from 1 species
CUUUGUUGUUCUCAUUUCACCCUCAAAUAUUUCAGUUUUAUUGAAAAGGAUGAUCUCUUGUGAUUCAUGAAAAAUGAAGAAGUGGAAAAUGUGAUUCCACUAUUUGAAGAAGCAGUCAAGACUAGAAGAAUUAAGAGGAAGUCUCUCAAAACCUAGCGGAUUCUCAACUCCAGAUAGCCCUCUCCAAAGGGGUAGCAUAUUAGGGAGUGGAAGACUUGUUAAAUUGGCUACAAGUUUGGACUCCAAGUGCACUUUAUCCUUGCUGUUCCAGCACCAUGUCAGCAGCAAAAACACACCACUUUUGACAGUCCAGCAAUAUGAAACAGCAGCCACACUUGGUUGUUCAUUUGUAAACACUUUUAAUUGUACUUUUGUGCUAUAUCACGGAACAUUUGUGUUUCAUAUUUUCCUUUACUUUUACAACUUAAGUGACUUGGGAAAAUGCUUUUCAAGCAAUUCCAAGAGCACCAUUGAACAUUGUAAUAGUCUAGUCUACGCAUCUUAGUGUGAAAGUGUGUCAAGGGGCUCCAAGUGUCA